UGUUAUAGUUUUAUUUUUAUUUUAUUUUAUUAAAUUUUUUAUACUUAAAUUUCAAUUUUAAUUAAUAUAAAAUUUAUUUUUUUACACUUUAAAUUUUUAUGUUUUAUUUUUUUGCAAGUAGAUGCUAGGAUCUAGUUAGUAGAUCUUAGUACCAAUUUAUUUUAUGCACUUUAAAUUUUUAUUAUUUAUUUUUAUUAUAAGUAGAA
rnacentral:lncRNA from 1 species